rnacentral:rRNA from 1 species
GACGAACGCUGGCGGCGUGCUUAACACAUGCAAGUCGAACGAAGAGCGAUGGAAGCUUGCUUCUAUCAAUCUUAGUGGCGAACGGGUGAGUAACGCGUAAUCAACCUGCCCUUCAGAGGGGGACAACAGUUGGAAACGACUGCUAAUACCGCAUACGAUCUAAUCUCGGCAUCGAGGAUAGAUGAAAGGUGGCCUCUACAUGUAAGCUAUCACUGAAGGAGGGGAUUGCGUCUGAUUAGCUAGUUGGAGGGGUAACGGCCCACCAAGGCGAUGAUCAGUAGCCGGUCUGAGAGGAUGAACGGCCACAUUGGGACUGAGACACGGCCCAGACUCCUACGGGAGGCAGCAGUGGGGAAUCUUCCGCAAUGGACGAAAGUCUGACGGAGCAACGCCGCGUGAGUGAUGACGGCCUUCGGGUUGUAAAGCUCUGUUAAUCGGGACGAAAGGCCUUCUUGCGAAUAGUGAGAAGGAUUGACGGUACCGGAAUGGAAAGCCACGGCUAACUACGU